rnacentral:rRNA from 1 species
GAGUUUGAUCAUGGCUCAGAACGUACGCUGGCGGCACGCUUAACACAUGCAAGUCGAACGCAGUAGCAAUACUGAGUGGCAGACGGGUGAGUAUAAUGUGGGAAUCUGCCUUUUGGUUCGGAAUAACUCGGGGAAACUUGAGCUAAUACCGGAUAAGCCCUUACGGGGAAAGAUUUAUCGCCAAAAGAUGAGCCCGCACUUGAUUAGCUAGUUGGUGAGGUAAUUGCUCACCAAGGCAACAAUCAAUAGCUGUUCUUAGAGGAAGACCAGCCACAUUGGGACUGAGACACGGCCCAGACUCCUACGGGAGGCAGCAGUAGGGAAUCUUGCACAAUGGAGGAAACUCUGAUGCAGCGAUGCCGCGUGAGUGAAGAAGGCCUUUGGGUUGUAAAACUCUUUCGUCGGGGAAGAAAAUGACUGUACCCGAAUAAGAAGGUCCGGCUAACUUCGUGCCAGCAGCCGCGGUAAUACGAAGGGACCUAGCGUAGUUCGGAAUUCCUGGGCUUAAAGAGCUCGUAGGUGGUUAAAGAAGUUGGUGGUGAAAUCCCAAGGCUUAACCUUGGAACUGCCAUCAAAACUUUUUAGCUUGAGUAUGAUAGAGGAAAGUGGAAUUUCUAGUGUAGAGGUGAAAUUCGUAGAUAUUAGAAAGAACACCAAAUGCGAAGGCAACUUUCUGGAUCAUUACUGACACUGAGGAGCGAAAGCAUGGGUAGCGAAGAGGAUUAGAUACCCUCGUAGUCCAUGCUGUAAACGAUGUGUGCUAGACGUUGGAAAUUUUAUUUUCAGUGUCGCAGCAAAAGCGUUAAGCACACCGCCUGGGGAGUACGACCGCAAGGUUAAAACUCAAAUGAAUUGACGGGGACCCGCACAAGCAGUGGAGCAUGUGGUUUAAUUCGAAGAUACGCGCAGAACCUUACCAACUCUUGACAUGUCCGUCGCGACUUAUAGAAAUAUGAGUCUUCGGUUCGGCCGGACGGAACACAGGUGCUGCAUGGCUGUCGUCAGCUCGUGUCGUGAGAUGUUGGGUUAAGUCCCGCAACGAGCGCAACCCUCACUUUUAGUUGCCAUCAUUUAGUUGGGCACUCUGAAAGAACUGCCAGUGAUAAGCUGGAGGAAGGUGGGGAUGACGUCAAGUCCUCAUGGCCCUUACGAGUUGGGCUACACACGUGCUACAAUGGUACUUACAACAAGACGCAAAGAGGCGACUCGAAGAAAUCCUCAAAAGAUACCUCAGUUCGGAUUGCACUCUGCAACUCGAGUGCAUGAAGCUGGAAUUACUAGUAAUCGUGGAUCAGCGUGCCACGGUGAAUGCGUUCCCGGGUCUUGUACACACCGCCCGUCACACCAUGGGAGUUGGUUCUACCUUAAGGC